rnacentral:snoRNA from 1 species
GCCGCCAGAAUGAUGAACAGCGCCGAGAUCAGGAUCGCCGACAGCUCUUCUUUGAACGCCAGAAUAUCGCUGGUGUCCACGUCGCGCAUGUUGGCCAGCCAGAUGCCCAUGACCGUGAC